rnacentral:ncRNA from 1 species
AAUCACUAGGGGGGCCGCUUGUCGGCUGAGAUGGAUAUAUUCCGGACCCUUUGAACCUGAUCUGGUUAGAACCAGCGUAGGGAAGUGGGCU